rnacentral:rRNA from 1 species
GAUGAACGCUGGCGGCGUGCCUAAUACAUGCAAGUCGAGCGAACAGACGAGGAGCUUGCUCCUCUGACGUUAGCGGCGGACGGGUGAGUAACACGUGGAUAACCUACCUAUAGGACUGGGAUAACUUCGGGAAACCGGAGCUAAUACCGGAUAAUAUAUUGAACCGCAUGGUUCAAUAGUGAAAGACGGUUUUGCUGUCACUUAUAGAUGGAUCCCGCCGCAUUAGCUAGUUGGUAAGGUAACGGCUUACCAAGGCAACGAUGCGUAGCCGACCUGAGAGGGUGAUCGGCCACACUGGAACUGAGACACGGUCCAGACUCCUACGGGAGGCAGCAGUAGGGAAUCUUCCGCAAUGGGCGAAAGCCUGACGGAGCAACGCCGCGUGAGUGAUGAAGGUCUUCGGAUCGUAAAACUCUGUUAUUAGGGAAGAACAAAUGUGUAAGUAACUAUGCACGUCUUGACGGUACCUAAUCAGAAAGCCACGGCUAACUACGUG